ACUACAGAAAAUGUACACAUGAAAAUGUGCUUGAAUUAAGAAUAUAGGAAAUAGCUCCCGUUAACCGACACGUCAAUUGCGACAUUACUGAACCCCAAAACAGCUGGUUGAAGAGGGUGUGUGAGAGAGAGCGAGAUAGAGAGAGAUAGAGAACAGAGGCGCGCACAUGCAUAUUCAAUAACGAGCAACAUCGAUUUUUCAAAACAAACCCAACCUUCUGUCUGCCCAGAGUUGUAUUCAAAAAUUAUAUUUUAUUAUGUUUCUGGGAACAGCUGCAAGCACAAUUAAGGAAAAUAAUGUUAGCAAAAUAUUUCCGAUAUGAAUAACACUUUGCAACGCACUUGGCUUUUCUGUGUAUGUAUUUGUAUUUGUAUACGACUUUCAACUGAUAAGGAGCUCGAAGGCAUUUCAAUGGAGCUGCGCGAUAUUAUACUUAGAUUACUGUUAAAAUGCACUACGCACUGGAAAUGAAAUUCUCAACACGCCAAGAGAGCAAACGAUAUUACAAGGAGUGGGGGUUUGCUCAUUGGGUUUGCGGGUGUGGUGAAUUACGCAGAAUGCGCGUUUUACCUUGUAUACACUUAUCGAUUUAUCAAUAGGUAGCAAAGGCAAUUAAUAUUACAUUUUGACUAUAGUUAAGUCCACUUAUUUGACACAAUAUUAAACUAUUUUUACAUUUUA